AGGGAACCACCAGGAGUGGAGCCUGCGGGUUAUUUAGAUUCAACACGGGAAAACUCACCCGGCCCGGACACUGGAAGGAUUGACAGAUUGAGAGCUCUUUCUUGAUGCCAAGGGUGGUGGUGCAUGGCCGUUCUUAGUUGGAGGAGAGAUUUGUCUGGUUAAUUCCGAUAAAGAACGAGACUCUAACCUACUAAAAAAAUCGUGGGUUUACGGACUCCAUGGAGACUUCUUAUAGGGACACGACUGGAUUCAUCAAGCUCUAACAGAGCAAUAUGGGGGCUGUGAUGCCCUUAAUGAUCCGGGGCCGCGCGCGCGCUACAAACCUGCGAUCAGCGUGCAUUCUCAGUCUACUCUGCCAAGAGGGGGAAACCCAAUGAACCUUCUUCGUGAUUGGGAUAGGUGAUUGUAAUUCUUCUCCUUGAACGAGGAAUUCCCAGUAAGCGCGAGUCAUAAGCUCGCGUUGAUUACGUCCCUGCCCUUUGUACACACCGCCCGUCGCUACUACCGAUUGAAUGUUUU
rnacentral:rRNA from 1 species